rnacentral:rRNA from 1 species
UACGGGGGGGGCAAGCGUUGUUCGGAAUUACUGGGCGUAAAGGGCUCGUAGGCGGCCAACUAAGUCGGAUGUGAAAUCCCCAGGCUUAACCUGGGAACUGCAUCCGAUACUGGAUGGCUUGAAUUCGGGAGAGGGAUGCAGAACUCCAGGUGUAGCGGUGAAAUGCGUAGAUAUCUGGAGGAAUACCGGUGGCGAAGGCGGCAUCCUGGACCGACAUUGACGCUGAGUGAGCGAAAGCUAGGGGAGCAAACGGG